GAUCCCGGAGGUCAACACCCGACAGCGCGAUGCGCCCUCGGGUGCAUUUUUG
rnacentral:sRNA from 2 species